rnacentral:rRNA from 1 species
AGUGAACGCUGGCGGUAGGCCUAACACAUGCAAGUCGAACGGCAGCACAGUAAGAGCUUGCUCUUACGGGUGGCGAGUGGCGGACGGGUGAGGAAUACAUCGGAACCUACUUUUUCGUGGGGGAUAACGUAGGGAAACUUACGCUAAUACCGCAUACGACCUACGGGUGAAAGCAGGGGAUCUUCUGACCUUGCGCGAUUGAAUGAGCCGCUGUCGGUUUAGCUGGUUGGCGGGGUAAAGGCCCACCAAGGCGACGAUCCGUAGCUGGUCUGGGAGGAGGAUCGGCCACACUGGAACUGAACCGCGGUCCAGACGCCUACGGGAGGCAGCAGUGGGGAAUAGUGGACAAUGGGCGCAAGCCUGAUCCAGCCAGACCGCGUGGGUGAAGGAGGCGCUCGGGGUGUAAAGCCGUUUUUUUGGUAGAGAAAAGCAUUAGGUUGAGACGCAGCGUGUCUGACGGUACCCAGUGAAUAAGCACCGGCUAACUACGUG